CAGGUCUUGACAUCCUCUGACAAUCCUAGAGAUAGGACGUCCCCUUCGGGGGCAGAGUGACAGGUGGUGCAUGGUUGUCGUCAGCUCGUGUCGUGAGAUGUUGGGUUAAGUCCCGCAACGAGCGCAACCCUUGAUCUUAGUUGCCAGCAUUCAGUUGGGCACUCUAAGGUGACUGCCGGUGACAAACCGGAGGAAGGUGGGGAUGACGUCAAAUCAUCAUGCCCCUUAUGACCUGGGCUACACACGUGCUACAAUGGAUGGUACAAAGGGCAGCGAAGCGGCGACGCAUGAGCGAACCCCAGAAAACCAUUCUCAGUUCGGAUUGCAGGCUGCAACUCGCCUGCAUGAAGCCGGAAUCGCUAGUAAUCGCGGAUCAGCAUGCCGCGGUGAAUACGUUCCC
rnacentral:rRNA from 1 species